rnacentral:rRNA from 1 species
AUUGAACGCUGGCGGCAGGCUUAACACAUGCAAGUCGAGCGGAGUGAUGGUGCUUGCACUAUCACUUAGCGGCGGACGGGUGAGUAAUGCUUAGGAAUCUGCCAUUUAGUGGGGGACAACAUUCCGAAAGGAAUGCUAAUACCGCAUACGUCCUACGGGAGAAGGCAGGGGAUCUUCGGACCUUGCGCUAAAUGAUGAGCCUAAGUCGGAUUAGCUAGUUGGUGGGGUAAAGGCCUACCAAGGCGACGAUCUGUAGCGGGUCUGAGAGGAUGAUCCGCCACACUGGGACUGAGACACGGCCCAGACUCCUACGGGAGGCAGCAGUGGGGAAUAUUGGACAAUGGGCGGAAGCCUGAUCCAGCCAUGCCGCGUGUGUGAAGAAGGCCUUUUGGUUGUAAAGCACUUUAAGCGAGGAGGAGGCUCUCCUAGUUAAUACCUAGGAAGAGUGGACGUUACUCGCAGAAUAAGCACCGGCUAACUCUGUGCCAGCCGCCGCAGUAACAC